UACGUAGGGGGCUAGCGUUGUCCGGAAUCAUUGGGCGUAAAGCGCGUGUAGGCGGCCCGGUAAGUCCGCUGUGAAAGUCCAGGGCUCAACCCUGGGAUGCCGGUGGAUACUGUCGGGCUCGAGUCCGGAAGGGGCGAGUGGAAUUCCUGGUGUAGCGGUGAAAUGCGCAGAUAUCAGGAGGAACACCAAUGGCGAAGGCAGCUCGCUGGGACGUGACUGACGCUGAGACGCGAAAGCGUGGGGAGCAAACAGG
rnacentral:rRNA from 1 species